GUCUGUGGCCAUGCUAACCUGAACGAGCCCGAUCCUGUCUGAUCUCGGAAGCUAAGCAGGGUCAGGCCUGGUUAGUACUUGGAUGCGGGACCACCUAGGAAGACCAGAUGCUGUAAGCA
rnacentral:rRNA from 1 species